GCUUCCUUAAACGGCGCGGGAGCGGCGGGGAGCGGCGGAGCGGGUUCGCAUCGCCCCGGUGCGCCGGGCAGCGCCGACCCUCCCGGGACGCGGCUGCAACACGUGGAGCAAACUUUCGAGGGAUGUGUGUCUGCCGCCGGACAGAAACUCCGCCGCAUCGGGAUUGCGCUUGACUACACAGACUUCCUUUACACAUCACUUACCUAUUUUUAAUUGGGUUAUAUGGCUCUGGAGCAAGAUUUACUCAUUUGUUAUUUGUUAUUCUCAGGAGCAUUUCAACUGCUUUUCUUAAAGCUGAAUUAUUUGUAAACAAGAAGUGACUAGAGACCCUGAACAGAGUCCCAGGUUUUGCUUAACUUUGUAAGGCACACUGACAUACUGAUGCUACUCCAGUUAAGGUAUGGUAUGAAUCGGGAGCUGUACCAGCUGCUGGGGAAUGAGUGUGUUCACAUGAAGUCAUCCUGCUGUAGCUAUUGCAGAAUUGGCAACUUGGCUGUGAAAUAAAUCAAGUACAAAAUGACAACCCUUGUCCCAAUGACUGUGUGACUAGAUGAGACAAUGGGCACAAGAAAGUCACCUUACUGUCAGUUAAGGAUGGGUACUGUUCAACCAGCUGGGAACAAAGAAACUUGGGCUGCUCAAAGCCCCACAGGACUGUCCAGGAGCGUCCUUCCCUGUGGGCCAAUUCCAGGAAUGUGCCACUUCUGGAACCGUUUGUUUCAGGACUUCCUGCUUUGACACCUUUGAUUUCUGAAACUGCCCCAUCAUAGGAAGCCCCUGACCCUUUCUUCCUCUCCACAAGGAUUUCUUCAUCUAGCAACUCUCAUGUCUUCAUCUGUUACUGAAAGAAGAUGGAAGAGUUUAAAAGUUUCUUUGCAAGAUGUGUGGAUGGAAUUAAUCUAUUCUGAUUCUGGUAUCGGCCAAGCCAACUGGACCUCAUCACCUCAACUGUGAACAGGCUACAGAGCAACAGCCUACUACAGUGGAAUAUUCUUUGCGCUGAAAACAGGAAGACCAGGAAUGAGGCUUCUUCCUAUCUCAGCUCUGCCACAAUGAUGAGAACCCACUCAUGGAUUUUUAAAGCCAGAAGGACAAGUCUGAACCUCUAACAGAGGAUGUGCACACAGCAACUCCUGCAGUUCAUCCUGAAGCCAGAGCCCCGAUGAAUGGAUCUUUUUCUUAUGUGCAAUGGGAACUCUGCCUAUAUAAAUGUCUCACAAGCUGUUCCAGUGCUUUAUAACCUUGUGUCUUGUACCUUAUGGCAAGCUGCAAGUUCCCGCUUAGGCAUCUUGUAUGGCCUCUGCAGACGAAACCCUUCGUGUAUGUGACUGCAUGUGGCGAACAGGAGAGCACAGUGGUUUGGUGCUAUUUUUAUCCUAUCUGUUCCCAGAACAGCUCUCCCAGUCAUGCUGGUCGCACACAUCCCCUCCAGUUGCCAUCCUGCCUGUCGGAGUGGAGGGCAGUCACAGCACAGGGCUGUAGGGACACUUGAUACGUGGCCAGGCUCAUAGGCAGGUUCCCUUGUGCAUAUCCUGCAGGUGGGAGCCAGCCCUGCAGGUCCCUUGUUGACACUUUAGAUAUUGUCAGCAGACCUGGGACACUCUUUCUCAGUGCCCAGGCUAAGCCACUAAGAUUUCAAGAACAAACUUGGCAGGUGUGUUGUUUGUUUUUGUUUUGGUUUGGUUUGGUUUUUUUUUCCCCAAGUUCAGUGUCAUUUAGCACCUCCAAUUUGCCUUGGAAAUACGCAGAAAUACCUUAAAUAAGAGUUUUGAAAAGUACAUGCAGGCAAUCAUGGGGUUUUUUUCAGACUCAGGUGAUACCAUCAACUUCUACUGCAGUUAAGCACUGCCCCAGACUUCCUUGAAGCUGUCAUCCUUAGUUUGUGUGAAGUAGUAUCAACAAUAAAUAGACCCUACUGAAAUAAAACAUCCUGGUACUUUCACACAUACAAUUCUUUCCCUGAAAAAUGGGUAACAGCAGAUGAACUAAACCUGAGCCACCAUUCAUGCUACUUUGCAAGUUCUUGGGAAGUGUACAGCAUCUAGAUUGGCAGUAGAGUUACAACAACCCACAAAGAACAGACCUAAAGCAGUAAAGAGUGCAGGGUGAGAGCCCAACAGGGAAAAGAAAAAUCAAAUUUCUCUUAAAGUACAAGCAAUUCUAUUAACGUCCGUCAAGCACCAGCCUUCCAGGCUGCGAGUUUCUCACUGCAGGGUACACUUUCUGAACUGCCCUGUAAUAUCAGCUGCUUUCAGUGCACAACUCCUGUCCAGAAUAAUGUGGUACAUACAGUCAAACAGAAAUUGUAUGUCAGCCACAUAAAUGGAAAAGAAACAGUGCAGGAAAUACAUUUUGCAGGCAAAUUUGUGGCUUUCUUUUACUGAAGCCCUUUGGUACUUUGCUGUAGUUUCUGAUGACUAGCUGAUUUACAGAGGAAAUAUGGUUAUCUAGGCAAAAUUUCAUCAUAAUUUAAACAUUUAAUUUUCAGCAGCACUGAAGAAAUCCAAGCUCUCAAGGAAGUUUUAGCUGUAUCAGGUCGUUGCUGGUUUCUGGGCUUUGUCUUUUUAAUUGCACCAAAAUUGUCCAUGUUUAACUAAGAACAUUUGAAGGAGUUGGUGGGAAAGAAACAGCAACUUCUCCAAUGGGAUGGCUGGGCCUGCCCUCACAAGAGCUGAACCCUGUUCUGGUGCCCAGUUUGUGUUGCCUGGGGUUCAAAGGUUGAUAUUUGGUACUUUUAAAAGAGAAAAAACAAAACAACCCCCCAGCAAAGUGAACAGAUGUCCCUGAGCCUCAAAUUAAGCACCCAAACUCAUCAGCUGAUUUAGGUUAGCGUGACUUGUGUGCAUGUGCCUUUUUCUGCAACAUGACGUUUGAAAACUUCGUUACAUCACUGGAGCAGGAUUUGUCUUCCUAACCUGAAAGCCUGGCAGACAGAAAGUCAUCUUGCUACUGGGGCUGAUGCUGCUUUAUAUGCAACUUUAAAAAAAAAGAAGGGAAAAAAGUACAUGCUCUUUUCUGACAAUUAAGGAGAAAGAAAAAAGAUAAUGGUAUUCCAGGUAAAUAAUGCUGUCAGAUAUGCAUUAAAUCCCACAUUAUAAUUGUCAGUAGUCCUCUUGACUGUUUGUCAUGGUGCCCAUGACCUGACACAGUGUAACAAACACUGAAGGGAUCCUUGGUGACUAGUGUACCUGCAAAACUUUCCCUAUUUUUUUAAAGUUUGUAUUCCUGUAAACUUGUCUUUGUAUGUUAACUCAGACCGGUUCUUUAAGCUCAACAGCAGCAUGUUCAUAGACAAAGAAUGCAAACAGAGAAAUUCAGAGUUGUAGCAAUCUGGUUUGUAAAUUAGGGUACUGGUGAGUCCAUGGAGAUGGGCAUGAUGCAUUUAUUAGUCUGCAAUUAAGGCAAUGAAGUUUCUUCUGUACCCACCCCUGCUCCCCUGGACUCCUAAGGCUGCUCAUCUGCCUCAUGAGAGAAGCUGAGAAGUACAAGAAUUCACUUCACUCUUGAAGCUGUGGAUGAGCAAUUUGUUUUCUCCUUAAACUUCCUGUGACUUCUGAUCAGCAUUUUUAAAGGAAAAAUUAAAGAAAGAUGUACUGGUUUCUACAGCCUACAGUUUACAAAUAUACUCCUAGUUCAUCCACUUCUGAUGAUUCAUUCAAUUCUCUCACAACAGCCUGACAUCCUCUAAUUAAUGCCAGCAUAUACAAAAGGCAUUUUUAAUCAUUACAUAAUAAAGUGGAACUGAAAAGGACUAAUGAUACGGUAGGGUCCAGUGACAUUUCCACCGCUCCAUUACACAGGACAGGUUUUGGCCACCAGCCUGUCAGCACAACAGUCAUUACACAUUCAUACCAUACUACCAGUUACAAUAUAUUUGAUAUUUAUGUCUGACGGGACAGAUCUUCUGCUGUGUGUAGUACCAGGUUUUUUGCUCCAUGACAGAUGAGAAGCAACUUUAUGAAUUCGUGUGUGGACUUCCAAGUAGCUGCAGCCUGCUCUUAAUUGGGGAAAGGAAGCCAAAGGAAAUCAUGUGCAUUGGAGUAAAAUACCAUUUUUAGGAGUGGAAACUGCAUGUGUAGUUCAACAGUGAUUAAAAUAGCCAGGGACCAAGGAGCACAAAUGAUUAAUGGUCUCUUUCUGUGAGCUGAGGACAUGUCCUACAGAAUCUGGCCCUCCUGAGAGACACUCAUGAAGUACAGUUUGGCAAAGCACAUUUUACAGGCACGAGCAGGAAUUGGUUGGUUAGGCUAUAUUUUCCUUUCUGUUGUGGAUCAACUGUCAUGUGGCUUGAAUUAUUGGCUCCUAUUUCUGAAGUGUGUGAUGUAUACAAGUAGCUCUAACCCAACCUGAACCAGAGUGCAGUGGUGCAUCCCCACAGCCAGCUGACCCAUGGGGCAGGCAGCCUGAAGACAUUACAGUAAGCUCUCACACUUGCAUACUAAGCCUGGUGCUGCAGUUAGAACACCAGCCAAACAAUCAUUUCAAAGCCUCUCAGUUUUUCUGACUGUUCUGUUCACAUUUUGUGACUAUGCUACUUCCUAAACCCCUACCAGUCCCACUGGCCAGUGGGUAGCUGUACCACUGAGUAGUGACUUUCCUCAGCAGGAGCGGGCAACCUCCUGAUGGAGAAUCCUGCAGGAUUCAUGUAGGUCAGCUCUGAGGCCCUGACUUUACCCUGUCCCUGUUACAGCACAGAGCUGGGCACCUCAGGGCUGGCUCAGCCAGGCACUGGAGGAAUGACCCCCAUUAGUGAGGUCCUGCCGGCCAGGCUCAGCAGGGUAUAGCAGGACACCAAAGCACUGAAGCAAGGCUGGCACUCUCUGGCCACCUGAUUGAUGCCAGAGAAGAAGCUCCACAGGGCCCUCAAAAGCCCCAGCAGCAGCUGUGAGGUGCUGGGGAAGGCUGAAACCCACGCUGGAGGUGAGCUGGGGGUUGCUUCAUGCUCCACCCUCACUCACUGUGUGGCAAAAAGUACGGGCUUGACCUCUGUGUGCCUCCCACCCUGGCUGAACCAGAGAUAGGAACCUCUGUCUGUCUCAGGGGGUUUCUGCAGUAUUUAAUUGAUUUGUGCUGCUAAACAGCCUCGAAAUAAAUGAGUACAAGGUGUUAAAGAAGGCUGCAUUACUGGGAAAGAUCCAGCUGAAACAACUCAGAUAGAAAACGUGCAUACUGAGAGCGCACCCUCUCCCCAUUUCCACUCCCCUGCCCCUGCACAGGGUGAUUAAUGCUUUACAGAAAUGCUGGCUUGUUUUCAGGCCUCUGACUUGUCCUUGAGCAUCUCUACAGCCUGACUGUCCAGUGGGGUUUUCUGCUGCAGGAAAGAGGCCAACCAAGAAGCUGAGUGCCACCAAUUAACGCAGCCACCCUGUUCCAGCAUCAUGCUGACACCACUGAUUUGCCCAUUAAGGAUGUCUUUUCCUGCGCAGAGACAACAGUGUAAGGCAUUACUAUAAGAAAACUUGCAAAGGGCACAAGUGAGGAACUUCUGGGAAUUCCUCAGGUUUUUCCAGCUGCAGAUGAGGGUGAAAACUGCCAGCUAUAAAAAUAUUAUAGUUUAUGCUGUUAAACAAAUCAUCAUUUGUCAACAGGUAGCUGAAUUCUAUCCAAUACU